rnacentral:rRNA from 1 species
UACAGAGGGGGCAAGCGUUGUUCGGAAUUACUGGGCGUAAAGCGUGCGCAGGCGGUUCGUUGUGUCGGUGGUGAAAUCCCCGGGCUUAACCUGGGAAUGGCCAUGGAAACUGGCGAACUGGAGUGCGGCAGAGGGGGGUGGAAUUCCGCGUGUAGCAGUGAAAUGCGUAGAGAUGCGGAGGAACACCGAUGGCGAAGGCAGCCCCCUGGGCUAGCACUGACGCUCAGGCACGAAAGCGUGGGGAGCAAACAGG